rnacentral:rRNA from 1 species
AUUGAACGCUGGCGGCAUGCCUUACACAUGCAAGUCGAACGGUAACAGGUCUUCGGAUGCUGACGAGUGGCGAACGGGCGAGUAAUGCAUCGGAACGUGCCCAGCAGUGGGGGAUAGACCGGCGAAAGCCGGAUCAAUACCGCAUACGACCUGAGGGUGAAAGGGGGGGAUCGCAAGACCUCUCGCUAUUUGAGCGGCCGAUGUCGGAUUAGCUAGGUGGUGGGGUAAAGGCCUAGCAAGGCCACGAUCUGUAGUUGGUCUGAGAGGACGACCAGCCACACUGGGACUGAGACACGGCCCAGACUCCUACGGGAGGCAGCAGUGGGGAAUUUUGGACAAUGGGCGCAAGCCUGAUCCAGCAAUGCCGCGUGCAGGAAGAAGGCCUUCGGGUUGUAAACUGCUUUUGUCAGGGAAGAAAUCUUCUGGGUUAAUACCUCGGGAGGAUGACGGUACCUGAAGAAUAAGCACCGGCUAACUACGUGCCAGCCGCCGCGGUAAAAC